UACGUAGGGGGCAAGCGUUGUCCGGAAUUAUUGGGCGUAAAGCGCGCGCAGGCGGCUAUGUAAGUCUGGUGUAUAACCUCGGGGCUCAACCCCGGGUCGCACUGGAAACUGUGUAGCUUGAGUACAGAAGAGGAGAGUGGAAUUCCACGUGUAGCGGUGAAAUGCGUAGAUAUGUGGAGGAACACCAGUGGCGAAGGCGACUCUCUGGGCUGUAACUGACGCUGAGGCGCGAAAGCGUGGGGAGCAAACAGG
rnacentral:rRNA from 3 species